rnacentral:tRNA from 1 species
UAGAAGGAUGCCUGCUGGUUUUGGCGCCUAGCUGUUAACUAGGAUUUUGAGGGAUCGAGGCCCUCCUUUCUAU